GGGUCUCGGUGGUUCUUCAGGAGGCGCGUGCAAAGGGGAACACGCGUGCAAAGAGGGCAGCAGGGUGAGUGCUUGAUCAAUCGCCAUGUUCAGUACUGCACUUUUGCACACACGUAUCCGUUAGAUGUCAAGUAAAACUAUCUACGAGUCCAAUUACAUGCAAGUACUGACCAAAUCACCCAUGUAUGUCUCAAAUCUGAACCAUGGUCUCUACUGUAUUAUGUGAACAUGAACAUAUAAAAAACAUAAAAGAGGUAAACUUUGGUAAAAUACAAAUAGGCAUCACACAAUCUACUCAUCAUCACUUGAAUGCUCAUUCUCGCUCAAUGCACCAUCUUCCUGUCCAUCAUCGUCAGUACCACUAUCUUCAUCAUAAUUGUUGUCAUCUUUGAGAAGAUCGUGAACAAUACUAGCAUGAACAGGCGUGCCUUCUUCAUCAUCACGGCUAUAAGUGUCGAACAAUUGAUCAAUAUCCUUCACAGUGGAAGUUGUCGAGGGCAUUUCUUCCUGGUAUGCAUCUGUAGCAUUGAGCUCGCCUGUCUCUAGUUCAGGAACAUCGUACAAACGUCUAUGACUGAAAGUCUGCACCACAUUCCAGUCAUUUCCAUAUUUUGUGUCCUCCAUGUAAAACACUUGCUCUGCUUGAGAAGCCAAGAUGAAAGUAUCCUUCUUGUAUUAAAGCACGUUAACAUUAAGACUUUUGAAGUAACCAUCAUCUUUCAUGCCGGUCGCCUUGCCAUGGAGAUCAAACCAAUCACCACGAAACAAAAAGGCCGACCUUUCUCCACGCUUGGUAGGCAGAAAUCUUCGGUGCCAACAAACCAAAUUUUAUUUUUCAAUGGCUCAGAGCAAGGGUCCACAUCACAGUGCACUACAACAAAAUAGUUUACCUUAGCAAAAUUAUGCUUACACCGCAUUGAAGCAAAAUCUACUACUAACACAACUAGUGAACCCACUACUAAACUGAAAUAACAAAACGGGCACAAAUUUAACCCCUUCAAGAUUGAUGAGAACAUAUACUAAGGCAACCUCCUAAACAUUGUCUUUCCUAAGUACAGCAUAUAUGCUUGGUUUCCAAAGGCCACUGACUUGUGGAUGUCUUAUACAAAAACAUAUAUAUUCUCACUGUCAUUGCAAAACCAUGCAUAUAUCUAUGCUACAUCAUAGUAACAUUCGUACACACAAUACAACAGUAGAAGUAAUAGUUCGGUUGUUCACACAAUUUACCUUGCAGGGGUCGGCUCGAUCGAUGCUUUGGGAGUUGGGGCCAAGCCGGGAGCACUGGCAAGUCUAAACUCCGCGCCUUUGUCAGGUGAUGGAUAGAUACUGCAAAUUCUAAGCACAGUUGGUGACGGGACGGUGGCCAGUUGGGGACAGGUUGAGGACGAGCGAUGUUGUCCCUGUCGGCGACGAGCAAAUGCGAUGCCUGUGGUGGAAGAAUGGAGGUAAGAGGGAGAGGCGGAGGAGCGGUGUGGUAGCCGGUGCGAUGCGGCGGCGCUGUAACGCCUUGUACGAUAUGUCGAUAUGGUGGCCGGAUGGAUCCGUGUGAGGUGGUACAGGGGAGUGGAUGCACUUACUUCAAUUGGCAACAGCCGGAAGCCAUCUGUGCCGUGCUUCGGCUAUCGCCGUCCUGCUUCUCCCCGUCGUGAAACGCCGCCAGCUAGAACCGAGAAGACGAUCAGAUCGAGUCACAUAUGCCCCGGGAAGAAAUAACUAACCUGCAAAUAUAGUCUCCCUCAAAAAAAAACCCGGAAAUGUUAACGCCCACACGUGUGGGCGUUUGCACAUCGCCCACACGCCUCCAGCACCACUCAUUUUGCCACAUAUGAAUAGAUG
rnacentral:lncRNA from 1 species